AAAAGUCUAGGAGGGAUGGGCUUGAUUCCGAUUCAAUCAAAUUUAGAAGGACGUACAUAUGCGUUAUAUAAGUUAGAAGAGAUAAUGAAGCCACUUGGGUAUAGCAUUGGUGGCAAUUGGGAUUACAAUAAAGGAUGCUUUGAUUAUAAAAUUGAUGAAGAAGAUGGCUAUCAAUUUCUGCGAGUGCCAUUUACAGCAGUAGAUGGAGAGCUAGAUGUACCUGGUGUAAUAGUCCGUCUUGGAACGCCUUAUAUUCUUUCGCACGUAUAUCAAGACGAACUAGAUGAUCACGUAAAUACUUUAACGGCUGGAACGAGUGGAAUGGAUCAAUUUGCUGAGCCGAAAGAUCCAGAUGGAGAUGUGAAAAGAAAAUAUAUCAAUAUUGGGAAAGUGCUCAUGCAGGAACUAGAAAAACAUUUUCUUAAUGGUGAAUAACAAUGAGUAUGUCGCUUUCAAUGAGAACAAAGGAAUGGACUGGAUUAAUCAUAUAUUGUUCGUCGCGUUUUAUACCUAGUAAGAGAAUAUUUUGCUUUAAAAGAGUAUAGCUACAAUUUGCAAAAGUUUGUCCAGUGCAGGAAGGAUAAAGCUCCAUCAGUUGUAAUUUGUUAUCAGAGAUUUCAUCGUAAAGUGAGAAUAGUACGCCUGAAAUGGAAGGGAAUAAAAGAGAAGCGGUAAAUACGUAGCUCGUUAAUUUAUUUCCUUCUAUAAUUUCUGAUACACCAGCUCUCGUUGCAUUUUGUAUUUGUUCAGAAGUAAGAAGUUCAGCGAUGCAGUGAAUGUUUGGGUUGAGACCUUUUGCAGUUAAAAUAUUUAAAAUGGACUGUGUAUCUGCUAAGCUUUCAUUUUUUUCUUUAUCAGCUGUUAUUAAUAUAGUGUGAGCAGUUGUAAUAUUAGCUUUUAAUAAAGUUUGAUCGUGAUGCGGGCAACCCUUUAUAAAUUCUAAAUGAUGAAAUGGUUUUGGAAGUAAAGAAAGUGUUUCAUCAAUUAACACGAUAUCAAGGUUCGGUUGUAAGAUGUGCAUUUGUUUUACAACAUGUUUUGCCCGUUCGUUCCAGCCGACGAUAAUCAUAUGACCGUUAGAGGUAGCGGCUUCUUCUCCUUUAAUUUUCAUAUAUUGCUUAUUAAUCAUAUCAGUGGCGAACAGAACCAUAUAAUAAGAACAAAAACCGGUUCCAAAUAAAAUAAUCCCCAUACCGAUAAGUUUGCCUAUUAGUGUAUGCGGGGCAAAGUCACCAUAGCCAACGGUGAAAAUGGUAACGAUUGACCACCAAACUCCAUCAAACCAUGUGGUGAAGUGCGAUGGCUCUAAUCUAUGUAUAAGGAAGCCAGAAGAAGCAGUAAGUACAACAAUAAAGCAAACUAAACGAAAAAUAAUGGAAUCACGAAAUGUAUCUACUAAAUUUGGACGGGAUUUCAAACUUUUAUUCCUCCUUACUUUGCAGGACUACAUUCAUUGUUACCAUUAUAGAAAAAAGAAAAACUCUCUAAUUUAAAAGAGAGUUUGUUUUACAUUACAUACUUUCUAAUUCAGUUUGUUGGACACUUUCAAGAUGCUGGAGGGCGUAGUAAACAUCAGCAGUAUGCCUUUUUUGAUCGAUAGAUAAUUUCAAAUGUAAAUAGUGAGAGCCAUUCUCCAAUGUUUUGAGCUUCAUAUUCUUAACUUUUAUAUCCAUUUCUUUUAUUUCUUCAAUUACAAUUGGGAUAUUGUCCAUAUUUCGCACAACAAGUUUUACUGCGAUAUCACGUUGACGAAAUGAUCUCGGUCCUACAAAUUUCAUUGUUAAUGGUAUAAGUUCGACGCUAAUCAUAAGGAAACACAUUCCGAAAAUCGCUUCGAUAUAGAAUCCAGCCCCAACAGCAAUACCAAUACCAGAAGCACCCCAAAUCAUAGCAGCAGUCGUUAGUCCUGCAAUGCUAUCGUUUCCUCUUCGUAAAAUAACACCGGCACCUAAAAAACCGAUUCCUGAUACAAUUUGAGCGGCAAGUCGAAGUGGAUCCAUAUUCAUAUGAUCGGUAUGUGGCAAAUUGUAAGCCGCUUUAAUAGAAACAAUCGUCAGGAGGCAACUAAUAAUAGAAAUAACUAAACAAGUUUUUAAACCAAGUGGUUUCCGUUUUAAUUCGCGCUCUAAACCGAUAGCGAACCCUAAAAUAGCCGAGAGACCUAGUUUGAUUAAUAAAUCGGCAUAGUCCAUAUAUAUUCCUCCUUGUAUGAUACGGUAUAUGAAUAAAACGUUUAUUAUAGAAAGAAACGCUUUUUGAUAGAGUGACUUUAUAUAGAAUAUAUGUAGGAAUUAUUUAUACAUGAAAGAGAUAUUUCGUUUAAGUAUAUGAUAUUAAAAAAGAAAUGUGGGUGGUUUUGAAAAAAGUUUACAAAAGGUGUUGCAUUUCAUUUUUCACCAUGAUAUAUUAAUAACCGUCGCUGAUGCGGAAACGCAGAAAACGACAAAAAAGAAAUUGAAAAACUUAGUUGACAUCGAAAAACGAAGAUGUUAACAUAAGGAAGUCGCAAAUGAGCGACUAAGUAGUUCUUUGAAAACUGAACGAAACAAACAACGUGAAACGUCAAUUUUUAUUUUUAGAUGCUAGACAAACUAACUUUAUUGGAGAGUUUGAU
rnacentral:rRNA from 1 species